AGACAAGGUCCCCAUUUUCAGGGGCUGGUCAGUUCUUUGGCCAGUAGUGGUGUGUCAUCUGCAGCGGAAGGUUAGAUCCCUGCAGAUGACUGCAGGUGGUGUGUUUCUUGCCUUUCUCCUGUGUUUCUCUCUUCGUUCUCUACGGUGUUGGCCAACACUCCCGCUCUUCCUGUCUUUGCCUCUCCUUGUGCUGUCUUCCUUCAUAGGACACAGGCAGGCAUGCUCAGAGUGUAUCCCCACGGCCCAUGUAUCAGGAGCCAUGAAGAAGUAGAAGGGGACAAAAAUAAUGCAGAGCAGUGGGCACGAGAGUGGAGCGGUGACUGUCAGUGUUAACCCGGUCUCUGUUCAUCGAGUGGGGCUGAUGUUGAUGGGACUGGAGAGGGAGGCAGGGAUGAGGGCAAGAUUUCACACGCCAUUAGAGCUUUGUGUAGUGCUGGCUCUCACUUGGCUUUUUGCAGCUGCUCUUGCAGAGGGAUUGUCCAGGAGUCCCAGCAGGAGGAGAAACUGGCAGAGGUGGAUCUGAGCAGCCUGGACGGUCUUCUAAGCAGAUGUGAACAGUCCUCAGCUUUCUGCAUUCUGAACACCUGUCUCUGAGUAAGAGUACCAAGGCAGAAAAAAAUCACGCGUCAGUCUACUGCCCUCAUGCGAUGGAAAGCGAGCGAGAGCGACUAGACCGUAAGCAUUGUUGGUGCAAGGCAGGAGCCGUCCAGCUGGGACUGGAGCAGUCUCUGUUGUCAGUGAGAAAAGAGUCUGGUUUGAUGAGGGCUCUGCUCACGGCCCACCUGGCUCCAGGAGAAGGUUGGAUCCAGGGGGAUGAAUCCAGCUGAGGAAUCGUCCAGGAGCAGCAGCUGAAGGAGAAGGUGGCAGACGUGGUGCUGAGGAGCCUGGACAUCCUUCUAAGGAGAGAUUAACAGUCCUCAGCUUUCUUCCUCCUACAUAACUGGCUUACCAGGGGAAGAGAAAUCUUGCAUCAGAGACUCCUGCCCUUGUGCAAUGGAAAGUGAGUGAGAGCGAUGACGACCAAAAGAAUUACUGAUGCCAAGGAAAAGCUGUCCUAUUGGGAGCGAAACAGUGGCCACUCUCAAUGAGAUAAGUGUCUGUUUUGGUGAUUGCUCUGUUCUCGGCCCACCUUGCUCCUGGUAGGGACGCUCCGUUUGCUGGGGCUGUGUUUGUAAGAAAGUGUUUCUGAGUAGCUGUGGUUAUGAGGCAGACAAGGACCCCAUUUUCAGGGGUUGCUCCAUUCUCUGGCCAGUCGCGCUGUGUCCUCUGCAGCAGAAGGUUAGAUCCAGAGGGAUGACUCCAGGUGACGAGUUGCUUGCCUUCCUCCCAUGUUUCUCAUUUUUUCUCUCUCUCUCUCUCUCUCUCCUGUGUUGGCCAACACUCUUUCUUAGUCUGUCCUUUCCUUGUGCUGUCUCUCUUCUUAGGACACAGGCAGGCCUGCAAGGUGUGCAUCCCCACAGGUUAGGUCUUGGGAGCCCUGGAGUAGUAGGAGGGGACCAAAACCAUGUGAGGAAGUAGAGCAGUGAUUGUCAGUGUUUAACUCAGUCGUCUUUCGCGUGGGGCCAAUGUAGAUGAGAUGGAAGAGGGAGGCAGGGAUGAGGGCAAGAUUUCAAGCACCAAUAGAGCUUUGUGUAGUGAUGGUUUCUACUUGGGUGUUGCAGCUUCUGUUGCAGAGGAAUCAUUCGGGAGCCCUGGCCCAAGGAGAAACUGCUGGACGUGGAUCUGAGCAGCCUGGACAUCCUUCUAAAGAGACGUGAACAGUCCUUAGCUUUCUGCCUCCCACAUAACUGGCUGUGAGUAAGAGGUCAGUGUUUUGAAUUCCUCAUCUGUACUCACUGUAAUUUUCUUCACAGGCCGUGUGCUUCCUCAUUGAAAACGGUGCUCUGUGGGAUUCAGAUGAGGGAAAGGCACAAGUCUCCUGUGCAGAUACCAAAGGAAAAGGAGUGGAGGGUCAGAAUCCGCUCCCGUCCUGCGAUGGAAAGCAAGUGAGAGCUGGGAGACUGCAAGCAUUGUUUAUGCCAGUCAAGAGCCAUCCAGCUGGGAGUGGAGCAACUGUCACCAUCAGUGAGAUAAGUGUCUCAUUAAGUGAGGGCUCUGCUCACUGCCCACUUGGCUCCAGGUACAAAUGCCCCAUUAGCUGGGGCUGGGUUUGUAACAAAGUGUUCGUGACUAGCUGUGCUUACGAGGGAGACAAGGUCCCCAUUUUCAGAGUCUGCUAAUUUCUCUGUCCACAAGCUCUGUGUCCUCUGCAGAAAAGGUUGGAUCCAGGAGAAUGAUUCCAGGUGGCGAGUUGCUUGCCUUCCUCUUAUGUUUCCCCCUCUCUCUCCUCUAGUGUGUUGGCCAACGCUCUCUCUGUCAAUCUGUCCUUGCCUCUUGUUGUGCUGUCUCUGUUCAUGGCACACGGGCAGGUGUGACUAGGUGUGCACCCCACAGGCUCUGUCUUGGGAGCCAUGAAGAAGUAGGAGGGGAUGAAACUCUCAUGUGUGGCAGUGGGCACAAGACUGGAUCGGUGACAGUCGGUGUUGAUGCCGUCUCUGUUCAUGGAGUGGGGCCCAUGUAGAUGGGAUGGGAGAGGGAGGCAGAGAUUAGGGCAAGAUUUGAUGCACCUUCAGAGCUUUGUGUAAUGCUGGGUCAUGCAUGGCUUUUGCAGCUGCACUGGCAGAGGAAUUGUCCUGGAGCCCUACCUGGAGGAGAGACUCUCAGAAGUGGACCUGAUCAGCCUGAACAUCCUUCUUAGCAGACAUGAACAGUUCUCAGUUUUCUCCCUCCCACAUACUUGACUGUGAGUAAGAGGACAUGGGCAGGUGUGCUAGGUGUGCAGUCCCAAAAGCUGUGUAUCGGGAGCCAUGAAGAAGUAGGAGGGGACAAAAAUCCUGCAGGGUGCACUUGCAGAAGAAGUGUCCAGGAGCCCCAGGCCAGGGAGAAGCUGGCAGAAGUGGACCUGAUCAGCCUGAGCAUCCUUCUAAGAAGACAUGAACAGUCCUCUCCUUUCUGAAUCCCGCUUAACUUGCUGUGGUACCAGAGGAAAAGAGAUCCUGCAUGAGAGUCUACUGCUGUCAUGCAAUGGAAAUCAAGUGAGAGCGAUGGGACUGCAGGAAAUUAUUGCUGCCAUGAAAAAGCCAUUCAACUGGGAGUGAAACAACUGCCACUUUCAGUGAGAUAAGUGUCUGCUUUGGUGAUUGCUCUGUUUUUGAGUAGCUGUAGUUAUGAGGGAGACAAGGUCCCCAUUUUCAGGGACUGCUCAGUUCUCUGGCCAGUAGCAGUGUGUCCUCUGCAGCAGAUGGUUGGAUCCAGGAGGAUGACUGCAGGUGGUGAGUUGCUUGCCUUCCACCCAUGUUUUUUACUCUGUCUUUCUCUGUUCUCUAGUAAGUUGGCCAACACACACCCUAUCUCUAUCCUUACCUUUCCUCCUGCCAUCUCCCUUCUUAGGACACAGGCAGGGGUGCUAGGUGUGCACCCCACAGGUUAGGUCCUGGGAGCCCUGGAGGAGUAGGAGGGGAAGGGGCAGUGGGUGCUAAAGUGGAGCAGUGACUGUUGGUGUUAACUCGUUCUCUGUUCGAGUGGCGCCAGUGUAGAUGGGAUGGAAGAGGGAGGCAGGAUUGAGGGCAAGAUUUCACACACCAAUAGAGCUUUGUGUCAUGAUGAUUCAUGCUAGGUUUUUGCAGGUGUUCCUGCAGAGGAAUUGUCCAGGAGCCCCAACCAGAGGAAAGACUGGCAGAAAUGGAUCUGAGCAGCCCGGACAUCCUUCUAAGUAGGUAUGAACAGUUCUCAGCUUUCUGAAUUCUGAAUAACUGGCUGUGAGUCAGAGUACCAAGGAAAAAGAAGACACAUGUCAGACUGCUGCCCUCAUGCGAUGGACAGUGAUGAAGAGUGAUGGGAACUUGAGAAUUAUUCGAUGACACGGAACAGACACCACUGUCUCUGAGAUAAGUGUUUUGCUGAGGGUUCUUCUCAAGGCCCACCUGGCUCCAGAUAGAGAUGCCCUGUUAGCUGUGCCUGGAUUUGUGUUUUAAAAAAAAAAUUCCUGAACAGCUGUGGUUACAAGGGAGACAAGGUCCCCCUUUUCGGGGCUGGUCAUUUCUCUGUUCACAAGCAGUGUGUCCUCCACAGCAGAAGGUUGGAUACAGGGAGAUGGCUCCAGCUGGUGAGUUUCUUGCCUUCCUCCCAUGUUUCUCUUGCUGUCUGUCUUUUCUCUAGUGUGUUGGCCAACACUCUCUCUUUCUCUCUCUCUGUCUCUGUCCUUGCCUCUCCUUGUGCCUUUUCCCUUCAUAGGACACAGGCAGCUGUGCUAGGUGUGCAUCCCCACAGGCUAGGUCUCGAGAGCUAUGAACAAGUAGGAGGGGAUGAAAAUCAUGCAGGAUAGUGGGUGCGAGAGUGGAGGCAGGUACUGGAAGAUGUCGUGCACCUAGACUGUUUUUGGCAGUGAUGGCUCUUCCAUAGGUGAUUAGCUGUUCUUGCGGAGGGCUGCUCCAGGCCAGCGGAGCAGCCCCAGACAGAGUAGGAGCAUCUGGAGGAAGCAGACGUACCCAAUCUAGUUGUUUUGCUUUGCAGUGGAGCCAAGGAGCGAUCUUGUAAUGUUGGAGGAGCAGGUGUGUGUUUUUGUGAAAUGAUAUUUCUCUAUCCAGUAUCUGCAGAGUGAGGUGCCUCAUGGAGGGCAGAGAGAUGCUUCUCCUAUCCCUGGGAUGGGUCCUGGGGAAGGUCCAGCUCUGCCUGUGGCUGGUAGUGGUCUGGGAUUGUCCCUUUCCUGGAGGGCUGUAGCUUCUUAGGAGUGAUGAGCAUUUUAGGCCCUGGGUGGGCUGGAGAGGAAUAGAGAAGGGGGCCCCAAUGGGCAGCAGCCAGUGGGGGGUGUGUGUGUGUCCAUUUUUCUUCCAUGCCCCAGUGCUGGCCUAGCUUACAAGUGUUCUCUCUUUCUCUUUUUCAGUUCCUACUGAGAUUGGUCUCUGCCACAGGUUGGCCAGUCUCUCAUCAGACCAAAGAAGUAGUGGCCACCCUGAGCCCAUCCCUAGUGACGAAAGCCGGACAGCAAUCUGCAGAGUAAGAGCAAAUGGAAAUUUUCUGAAGUUCAGUAUUGAGGGAGGGCUGCAAACACUCUUCUCAGUGGAGAGAAUUUGUGAGUAUGGGGAAGGCCCCUGAGGAAAGGCCUCUGCAUCUCAUGGGGACACAAUAAGCUCAGGGGAAUCCUUUGUGCCCUGUCAAGGGGUUGUCAGGUGCUAUGGAGUCUUCCUGAAAUGCAGUAACCCUUUGUGGAGAGCCAGGAAGGUGACUACAGGUGCUGAGUUUGCCUCCUUCCUGUGUGUGUAUCUCUGCUCUCAUAUGUUGGCCAACAUGCUCUCUAUGUGUCUGCCUCUCCUUGUACUGUCUCCUUGCAUAUAACAUGGGCAAUGGUUCAUGCUCGCUGGCUUGGUCUGGAGAGUCUGUAUCCCACUGGGGCAUUGGGAGGAGGAAGAGAAGCAUGAUGGGUUUUAGAUCCUCCAUUGGUAGUGGUGUGGGGUGACUGUGGGAGUUGACUCUGACUCUGUUCAUCAAGUGGGGUGUACAGUGGAUGGGAGAGGGAUGGCGGCAUCUCAGACACCAAUAGAACUUGGGGCAGUGAUGGCUCCUGCUUGGGUUACAUGUUGUUGUCCUUGGCAGAGGGAUCAUCCAGGAGCCGCAGCUAGAGGAGAAACUAGAAGAAAUGAACCUGAGCAGCCUGGACAUCCUUGUAAGCAGAGAUGAACAGUCCUCAGCUUUCUGCCUUCCACAUAACUGGCUGUGAGUAAGUGGUCAGUGCUUGGAAUUCCUCACCUGUUCUCACUCCAGUUUUGUGCAGAGGCUCUGAACAUCCUCGUUGAAUGUGGUGCUUUGUGGGAUUAAAGCUGGAGAAGGGACCAGAGUCUCAGUUGUCAACUUUCACUAGGUAAAUAAGCACCCCAACUUUCAUAAUAAGCCAAAAAUCAAGCUAAUCCCAUUUCAAAACAAUUCCAAAGCAAGCCAAUCCCUUGGAACCCCAACACUGUGCGACUAAAUCUCCCAUUGCAAGUCGUCAGAGACUGUGGUGAGCCCCCUGUACACCCCUGACUCUUUCCCCUCUUUCCCCUGCGUGCCCCCAAUUGCUGGGAGCCGACCAAAAAAAAAAAGCAGUCAGAAACUACAGCAAACAACAACCUACAAGCCAAAAACUAGCCAACAAGCAAUUUGCAAGCCAAUUAGGCCAAAAACAUGACCAAUUUCUGCAUAUUUUUCUGCAGGUUUGGCAUUUCUGACCAGAGUCUGCUAUGCAGAGCUGUUAAUUGGCUUUCAGCUAGGCAGACCUGAUAUUUCAGUAAGAGUUUCUGGCGACUCCAGACGGGACUCUCCUAGCUCGGACAUUGGACUCCAGACGGCUGCAGUGAACUAGGAGCGGUGCCACUGGGGUGCAUAACCCCUCUUCUUCACUUCUCCACAGCCCCUGGGGUUCGUGAUCCGAUAAGAUAAUCAGAGAAAACUGAUGCCAGCUGAACAACAUUCAACAUAGCAUGCAUUUACUGUUUCUUUUAUCACAGGUAAAGAAGUGUUAUCCAAAGACUCUAGCAGCCCUGCCACUCCUUGGAACCAGGAGACUGGAUCUAUGUAAAGGUCCACCAAUGAAAGACUCCCCUGGCUCCACGCUGGAAUGGCCCUUUCCAAGUCCUGUUAAUCACCAAUACUGCCCUGAAGUGCCAAGGAUUGACUGCCUGGACCCAUGCUUCUCACUGCAAAAAGACCCCUCCACCUUGGGAGGAUUCUCCUAAUGAUGAGUAGCCUAUUUCUCCUUCUAGUUCUGCUGUGCCUUCUGGACACCAAGGAAAAAGGACAACCUCUCCUUUGUCCAGUGACAGAUCUACUGUGCCUUUGGAUUUUUCUAGAAGAAGCAAAGCCAUUACAGGCUGAUAUGCUAGUAACCUCUCUCCUGUAGGAUGCUGAGCCAUGCUUGCUUCAGGAAAGAAGGAGGAACACUUGCUUCACUGAAAUUGCCAAAGUCCAGGAACUCCUUACUAGAAAAGACAUUAAGAACUCACCCUGGUGAAGAAACAAAGAAUUAUACACUUGCAGGAAGAAAUUUGUGGGACCCAUGCUUGGGAAUGUGGUAUUGAUUGGAUGUUGGGGUUUAUUCUACAGGCCACACCCUGUGUUUUGUAUAAGUCCUUUAGCAUGUGUUGCUCUCCCUAAUUGGAUUUUAAAUGACAAGUACCAAAGGCACCUUGUUGCCACUGCCUCUGCCAUCUCCUCCAUCACACUAUUACCCCUGUAAUACAUCCAAAUACAGACAGUGCUAUAUAUCUGAUAAAUCCAAUGGCCAAGGCCUUCAGACUUAAGUGAUUUAUUUAAAGAUUGUUUAUAUGGGAUAUCCUGGAAUUGAAAAAAAAUUUUCUUUUCAAACAAACAAUUGAGUGGAAAAAGAAUGGGUCAGUGGAAAUAGAAAUAUAUGAUAUCACUACAAAUGAACCGCAAGAAUCUGUAAUUGAAAUUGAUGCAUUCCAUAGUGAAGUAGAUAUGAUGGCUGUUCCUGGAGUUUGCAAUGUGUUAGCCAUAAGACCCUCUUUUAUGUAUUUGGUCACCCAAUGGGUGAAUAAUCAAACAAAUACCCAAAGAGUUUGUUCUGCUACAGGAAAUUUCCCCUGUAUAGAAAUUGUUACAUUACUAAUAAUGUAACCUGUACCUUAUUGCAAUACACCCCCUCCUAUGCUAUUAAUGUUAGUGCCUCUUAAAAGUACCUGAGAUUAGUUAAAUAACAGAUAUGGUAUAGUACUACACCAAAGAGAAAUUUAUUAGGAUAUUGAUGGACUGUGAUUAAUACAACACUAGGGACUGUUAAGUUUAGAUUGCCCUUAUCUAGUUUCCAGAUCACCUGUACAUACCAAAAUUGCUCACAAAUGCCUGCCAUUAGAUUAGCACAACAGAGGGCCUGGGUUAUUUCCUCUGGAAGAAGAGGGACUUGACUGUUUCCCUAUGGGAUGGAGCCAAUAGUGCAGCAGCAGUUUGGAAUAUUUUUAAGAACCAAGAACAUGAUGACAAAUUGGGCCAACUAGAGAAGGCCACUGGCUUUAUUAUUGAGGCUCAGCUAACCCAAGUACAGGCUGGAUGGAGUUGGGUAUGUCUACACUGUGGGAUUAUUCUGAUUUUACAGAAA